AACAGAUAUAUUUAUUUUAUUACAAUUAACUUUCACAAAUAUGUCACAACCACAGACUUUCUGUAUCUAAACUUUGCUACAUAUUUGGUCAACAGAAUGCUGGUGGUUUUACUGCAUCAUAUGUUGGAGAUACUUAGACCUGGAAAGAGUCAGAACCAUUUAACCCAACAAUCCUUAAGCUUUGUACUUUUAAAUAACCAGUAUGGUGGCACCACUAGAACUUUUGCAUGUUUGAAGAUCUUUUUAUGAAGAUAUGGAAGAUUAACACAUAUUUACAUUACAAAAUAAUUUUUGUCAAAGUUCUCAGACAUUCUUUAACACGUAGCAUAGCAGCAUCUAACCACUUCCUUCUUCUCAGUACCUCCUCCAAACAUGUACUAGAAACCACAGAGUUUGCUGUUCCAGUUUGUCUUCUGCUCUCUGAUGGUCAUCAUGUUCUGGAGGAACACGGCAGUUCUGAUCCUGAUCCAGCUGAUUCAGGCUCAGCAGAUCUUUGCAGCUCCACCGUUAACUGAACUCAGAAGCCUGGAGGUUUCCAGAGGAGAUUCAGUCACUUUGACUUGUAACAUGUCUGUGGAAGAAGCAUCAUUAGUCAAAUGGAUCAAAGGAAAUUUAUCAUUUGUUCAUUCCAUCGUUCUCGAUGCUACUGUUUCAAAUUUCUCUUCUUCAAAGAUCAGUAUAGAGACCGAACUCCCUUCAAAGUUAAAUAUACUGAAUGUUCUAGAUGAAGACGAAGGACUUUAUAUUUGUACUGUAAUUGACAGGAAAGGACUAAAUACAAUUAUAUGGAACCUAACAGUCGAAGAAGUGAAAAUUUCUUCAGGAAUCAGUCAUUCAGUUUAUCCUUCUCUAAGAGUCCCGAUUGCAGCAGGAUUUCUGCUGUGUUGCAUCAUUUUAGUCGUCUGCGUCCACAGAAAAUGUAGAAGAUCAGAGUCUCAGUGAGACGAGAGCAUCUGUGUCUUUAUGCUGAACACAAUAGAAGAAGAUGACAGGAGAGAACAUGGAGAUGAAGGAAAGGAGUUUCAACAUCCAGUAGAGAUGGAGUCUUGGACUUUAGAAGCUGUUUUUAAGGGGUUAAAUGUGACAUUUAUGUGGUUUAAACAUGAAGAUUUAAUUGGAUAAGAAGAAAUAUUUCAACAUUAAAAACUAAAUACUGUUUUAUUUCAAA